AGUUGUCAACACAAUGCAGUCAGAUCCACUAGGCAUUAACGGGAUUCCCAGCAUGUGUUAUUGAACUGAGUCCCUGUUCUUCAUCCUUUGCGCUUCAGGGACAGCAUCAUUCCCAUCUCUGCUGCCACCUUCUUCUUCAUCAUCAUCCUUUUCUUCUUCUCUGCUUUUGUCCCGACUCCCUCCUCCUCUCUGUUUCAAACACUUCUCCUCUCAUUAUCUCGUCGUGUUUCCAGCAGCGCUCUCCGUUCCGCCUCCCCGUCCUCCUUAUUGUCGGUGCGGGACGGGGUGCGGGGAGCAGAUACGGCGUACGUGGGAAGCACAUCUGGGUUACUCAUGUGCGGCAGCGAUAGAGGCGCGUUCAUGGUGGUGCGUGGGAGCCGGUGUGUGCGCGCGCGCUCGCAUGUGUGUAUGCGUGCGUGCGGGGGUGUGCUUAUGUAGAGCAGUGAUAUGGGGCGGCAACAGUCGGUCGAGCUUCAGCUGAGCCUCCGUUCCUACAUUGUCUUAAAGCGGCUUUACAGGCAAUCCGUCUGUUUUCCUUUUCUCCGUCUCUCCUCUGCUCUGAUCAUUCUUGCCCUCCGCGUUGGUUUCUUUCAGCAGCUCAUUGUUGCAUGACCGCUUCUCGCCUCCGCGGCCCUCAAAGAGCGAGGAGGAUCCAACAUCCCGAGGAGGCGAAGACGAUUCGACAGAUUCUUAGGAGAAUAUGCCAGUCUGGCCCAAUUUAGUGGCUCAUAUUCAUAUUCUCGCUCUCUCUAUUUUUUCUCUUUCUGUGUCUGUGUGCGUGUGUUUGUCAGAAUAGUUCAGGUAAUCCUUGUUAUCCAGUUUAAGACAUUUACAAGGAAAUAUGUUAGUGGAAACAACGCCAAACUACUUUUUUCUCGUUAUGUCAAGUCAGAAAUAUGCAGAAAGAUUUGGGACUAAACUGAUUUGUAGGUUGGCAUAUCAAUCAAUCAAUCAAUCUGUUGGGAUCUGGGGAAGGCUGGUUGUUUUUUCCUGUUUUCUCCACUAGAGGGCAUCCUGGGGCUUUCCUGGAGGGUGUGACCUUCGGCUCCUUACCUGUGCACCUGGCGGCAGGUAUUUCAGGGGGGAGCAGCCAACACUCCAGUGCCAGAGUGUUAGCCAAUAAUGGUUAUACCUCCGUGAAGCCUUGGGCUACCUGAACUGCCAGGAUUAUUGGCAACCUGAUCUGAACCUUUGAGACCCCGUGGAUAUUUCCCAUUGGCAGCCCGAGUUUCCAGAACCUCUUUGUUGUAACAAACCUCCAUCAAGCCUCCUGGUCGGCAGCUCCCCCCAGGAUCCAGGAAGACCUGGCUAAUUCAUUCUCCUGUCCGCCUUCCAACGUAACCUCCGCUCUCUCUUCACCUCCAGCCCCAGAUCCACAGUAACCUUCUCCCCCAGUCCAAUUCACCCACCUGCAAAGAUCCAGCACUCCAGUGACGAGUUCCUGUCCCAGACCCCUGUACAUUCUAUUGCACUUUGUAUUCAAAUAAAUCACUUUAACUUUUACUUGUCUUCAGAGUUGUGUUCUGCGUUAUGUGGGUUAACAGAAUUAAACCCAUCAUG